UUGAACGCUGGCGGCAUGCCUUACCCCUGCCAGUCGAACGGUAACAGGUCUUCGGAUGCUGACGAGUGGCGACCGGGUGAGUAAUACAUCGGAACGUGCCCGAUCGUGGGGGAUAACGAAGCGAAAGCUUUGCUAAUACCGCAUAAGAUCUACGGAUGAAAGCAGGGGACCGCAAGGCCUUGCGCGAACGGAGCGGCCGAUGGCAGAUUAGGUAGUUGGUGGGAUAAAAGCUUACCAAGCCGACGAUCUGUAGCUGGUCUGAGAGGACGACCAGCCACACUGGGACUGAGACACGGCCCAGACUCCUACGGGAGGCAGCAGUGGGGAAUUUUGGACAAAGGGCGAAAGCCUGAUCCAGCCAUGCCGCGUGCAGGAUGAAGGCCUUCGGGUUGUAAACUGCUUUUGUACGGAACGAAAAGACUCUGGUUAAUACCUGGGGUCCAUGACGGUACCGUAAGAAUAAGCACCGGCUAACUACGUG
rnacentral:rRNA from 1 species